rnacentral:rRNA from 1 species
CGUAAAGCGUGCGUAGGCGGCUUCUUAAGUCGGAUGUGAAAUCCCUGAGCUUAACUUAGGAAUUGCAUUCGAUACUGGGAAGCUAGAGUAUGGGAGAGGAUGGUAGAAUUCCAGGUGUAGCGGUGAAAUGCGUAGAGAUCUGGAGGAAUACCGAUGGCGAAGGCAGCCAUCUGGCCUAAUACUGACGCUGAGGUACGAAAGCAUGGGGAGCAAACAGGAUUAGAUACCCUGGUAGUCCAUGCCGUAAACGAUGUCUACUAGCCGUUGGGGCCUUUGAGGCUUUAGUGGCGCAGCUAACGCGAUAGGUAGACCGCCUGGGGAGUACGGUCGCAAGACUAAAACUCAAAUGAAUUGACGGGGGCCCGCACAAGCGGUGGAGCAUGUGGUUUAAUUCGAUGCAACGCGAAGAACCUUACCUGGUCUUGACAUAGUAAGAACUUUCCAGAGAUGGAUUGGUGCCUUCGGGAACUUACAUACAGGUGCUGCAUGGCUGUCGUCAGCUCGUGUCGUGAGAUGUUGGGUUAAGUCCCGCAACGAGCGCAACCCUUUUCCUUAUUUGCCAGCGGGUUAAGCCGGGAACUUUAAGGAUACUGCCAGUGACAAACUGGAGGAAGGCGGGGACGACGUCAAGUCAUCAUGGCCCUUACGACCAGGGCUACACACGUGCUACAAUGGUCGGUACAAAGGGUUGCUACCUAGCGAUAGGAUGCUAAUCUCAAAAAGCCGAUCGUAGUCCGGAUUGGAGUCUGCAACUCGACUCCAUGAAGUCGGAAUCGCUAGUAAUC